UGGGUUAGUCGAUCCUAAGAGACAGGGAUGUUCCGCACACGCAGGCUUUGCCUCGUCUCUCGAAAGGGAAUGGGGUUAAUAUUCCCCAACCAGGACGUGGAUACUGUAUGGCAACGUAAGAGAAUUCGGUGACGCAGGGGGGAGCCUUGGGAAGCGUUGUCUUUUCUUUUUAACCGUCUCUUACCCUGAAAUCAGAUU
rnacentral:rRNA from 1 species